ACGGAGCAUCGGCGACGACACCGUUUUUUGCGCUUCAAAACCACUAACGCAUACACUCUCCCUACGAACAAACUCACCAUUUCAUAGUUGAGCUAGGGCACGCUUCUCUCUCUGCGGCCUCUUUUCUCCCUCGCCGCCGCUACAACAAAGGUUUUUGGUUUAUUAUUGUUUGAAGAUGGCUGACGGUCAUGAGACUGAUAAGAACAUUGAGGUGUGGAAAAUCAAGAAAUUGAUCAAAGCUCUUGAGGCUGCUAGAGGAAAUGGGACAAGUAUGAUUUCACUUAUUAUGCCCCCGCGAGAUCAAAUAUCUCGUGUCACUAAGAUGCUUGGUGACGAGUUUGGAACUGCUUCAAACAUCAAAAGCAGGGUGAACCGACAGUCAGUUCUAGGUGCUAUAACUUCUGCUCAACAGAGGCUUAAGCUCUAUAACAAGGUUCCUCCAAAUGGGCUCGUGUUGUAUACUGGCACAAUUGUGACUGAAGAUGGGAAGGAAAAGAAGGUCACCAUUGAUUUUGAGCCUUUCAGACCUAUUAAUGCAUCUCUUUAUCUCUGUGACAAUAAGUUUCACACUGAAGCUUUGAAUGAGCUCCUGGAGUCGGAUGACAAGUUUGGAUUUAUUGUCAUGGAUGGUAAUGGUACUUUGUUUGGGACAUUGAGUGGUAACACAAGAGAGGUGCUUCAUAAAUUCAGUGUGGAUCUCCCAAAGAAACAUGGAAGAGGAGGGCAAUCAGCUUUGCGUUUUGCCCGUCUUCGCAUGGAGAAGCGUCAUAACUAUGUCAGGAAGACAGCAGAGCUUGCUACCCAGUUCUAUAUCAAUCCUACCACCAGUCAACCCAAUGUUUCUGGAUUAAUACUGGCUGGUUCUGCUGAUUUCAAAACUGAGCUUAGUCAGUCAGACAUGUUUGAUCCUCGACUUCAGGCAAAAAUACUUAAUGUUGUUGAUGUUUCAUAUGGAGGAGAAAAUGGUUUUAAUCAGGCUAUUGAGUUGUCUGCUGAAAUUCUUUCCAAUGUAAAGUUUAUCCAGGAGAAACGAUUGAUUGGAAAAUACUUCGAGGAAAUCAGCCAGGAUACGGGAAAGUAUGUUUUUGGGGUUGAUGAUACCCUGAAAGCGUUGGAGAUGGGUGCUGUUGAGACACUUAUUGUCUGGGAAAAUCUGGAUAUGAACAGGUAUACCUUGAAAAAUGGUGCUACCGGAGAGAUUGUCAUUAAGCACUAUAGCAAGGAACAGGAGGCCAACCAAAGCAAUUUUCGGGAUCCUGAAAGCUCUUCUGAUUUUGAGGUUCAGGAGAAGUUGUCUCUUUUGGAGUGGUUUGCAAAUGAAUACAAACGGUUUGGUUGCACUCUUGAAUUUGUCACCAAUAAAUCUCAAGAAGGUUCACAGUUUUGCAGAGGUUUUGGUGGGAUAGGUGGAAUCUUGCGUUACCAGCUUGAUAUGCGAACAUUUGAUGAUUUCUCUGAUGAUGGAGGCGUCUAUGACUCUGAAUAGCAAUCAAUGAAAUACUUCCUACUGCUGGUGCAGGGAAGGGGAGCCAAAAUACCUGCACCAGUGUUGGAGGUGGUUGCACUCGCUGCUGCACCUCCUCCAUAUCUGUCCGUGGUGUUGCUUGGAAUGUUUGAUUGUGAAUCAAGAUGCUUUGCCUCUGAAGUGCCUCUUUCUGAUACGAGUUACUUUCUUGUUCUCCUAUCUUGCACACUCUGGCUCCACAAAUUUCUACAAAGCUUCUGGCAACACCUGCUCCCCAGCUCUCUACUGCUUGCCCCCAGAAAAGCCAGAACAAAAAUAUGUUCCUCAGAGAAACACUGCCUGGAAUCAAAGAAGGUGAACCCAGAUGCUUCGCUGAACGCAGUGUUCUGAAGGAUGCCCAGCAUAUAGGGCACCCGGAGUGCUCGAGUCUGUGACCAUACCUUUCAUGCAUUAUGAUCUAUCUUUCAAAACUUUACCCUGUUGAACUGAUGUUAGUUUUGUUUUCCCGGUACUUGAAACAUGUGAUUCUAGUAUGACUUGUAUUUAUUUAUGGUACUACUUAAUGGUAUGGUGAUGUGUUUUUUAUGAAAA